UGGGGUAUAUUGCACAAUGGGCGAAAGCCUGAUGCAGCGACGCCCCGUGAGGGAUGACGGCCUUCGGGUUGUAAACCUCUUUCAGCAGGGACGAAGCGCAAGUGACGGUACCUGCAGAAGAAGCACCGGCUAACUACGUGCCAGCAGCCGCGGUAAUACGUAGGGUGCAAGCGUUGUCCGGAAUUACUGGGCGUAAAGAGUUCGUAGGCGGUUUGUCGCGUCGUUUGUGAAAACCAGCAGCUCAACUGCUGGCUUGCAGGCGAUACGGGCAGACUUGAGUACUGCAGGGGAGACUGGAAUUCCUGGUGUAGCGGUGAAAUGCGCAGAUAUCAGGAGGAACACCGGUGGCGAAGGCGGGUCUCUGGGCAGUAACUGACGCUGAGGAACGAAAGCGUGGGUAGCGAACAGGAUUAGAUACCCUGGUAGUCCACGCCGUAAACGGUGGGCGCUAGGUGUGGGUUCCUUCCACGGAAUCCGUGCCGUAGCUAACGCAUUAAGCGCCCCGCCUGGGGAGUACGGCCGCAAGGCUA
rnacentral:rRNA from 1 species